rnacentral:lncRNA from 10 species
GGGACCCAACAAGACAUCGCCUUUAAAAGUGUUGUAUUCAAGUGGCCAACUAACAAAUGAAAAAAUGCUCAACAUCACUAAUAAUCAGGGAAAUGCAAAUUAAAGAUGAGAUCAUCUUACACCAGUCAGAAUGGCUAUUAUUAGAAAGUUAAGUAAGUUAAUACUUAAUAAACUCCCAUAUAUAGAUAUAUAGAUAUAUCUAUAUAUGGGAGUUUAUUAUAUAAUAUAUAUAUAAAUGCUGAUACUCCCAGCCUCUGGUAACCAUCCUUCUACUCUCUAUCUUCAUGAGUUCAAUAGUUUUAAUUUUUAGCUCCCCAGUUAAAGUCCAAGCUUUUUAACUUAUAGAGUGGAGAUGACAAUACAUUUAAUACCAGUUACACAGAGUUAUCCCAAUGAUAAAAUUGAGUGAUGUGUGGUUAAAAAAAAGUGUACAUUUUAAGGGACUCUGUAUAUGGGAGUGAUUAUAAUGAAUGCUAAGAGAUGGACUGGAGCUGCAGAGGUAUUGGGACAGACAUAUGUCAUCCUCAAAAAAAGGUUUUUUUGAUGAAAGAACUGAGUUCCUUCAGGAAUUCAAGAGUAAGAUUGCGUUUCUUCUUGAUAGGGAGAGAACAGCAAAAUUUGAAUACUUAACGUUAGCACACUGAGCCUAAAUCGUCUCAAUUUCACUGUUCCUAAAGACAAGUUGUAUUGGUUUCCUGUGGCCACUGUACCAAAUUACCCCCAAAAUUUGUAGUUUAAAAGAACAAAAUAUUAUUCUCCCAAUCAUAGAGACCAGAAGUCUGAAAUUGAGGUGUUGAAAGGCCAUCCUCCAUCUGGAGGCCCUAGGGGAGAAUCCACUCCAUGACUCUUCUGAUUUCUGAUGGUGGGACAGCUUCUUCUGCUUGUGGCCAUUUAACUCUAACCUCUGUGUCCAUCUUUAUGUCACCUUCUCCUCUAUGUCUGUCUUCUCCUCUGUGUGUUGCUUAUAAGGAUAGUUGCCAUUGAAAUUAGGGCCUACCUGGAUAAUCCAGGAGUAUCUCUUCAUCUCACAAUAUUUACCUUAAUUACAUCUGCAAAGACUCUUUACCCAAACAGGUAACAUUCACGGGUUCUGAGUAUUAGGACAUGGACAUAUCUUUUAAUGAGCCACCAUUCAGCUCACUACAACAGUCUAUACAGAUUGAGUAUCCCUUAUUCAAAAUGUUUGG